rnacentral:rRNA from 1 species
AAAUGUUUAUAAUUCAAAUAAAAAAAAAUAAUAAAUUUACUUUUAAAUUAAAUAAAAACUGUUAAAAUAAAUAAUUAUAAUAAAAUAUAAAAAAACAAUUAAUUCAAUUAAAAAUUUUAAAAUUUAAAUAUAGACCUACCAUAAUAAUAAAAUUAAUUUUUAAUUAAAAUGAUUAAAACAAAUAAAAAUUUAAACAUGACAACAAUAAAUAAAAAUAAACUUAUUAAACUUUAUUGUGCAAUAUCAAAAUUUUUGAACAAAUUACUCUAAAUUUAUUUUACCGCCAAAUUAAAUAAUUUUUAAUUAAAAUAUCUCUUCGUUUAAAACUAAAUAUAUUUAAUUUUUAUAUUUAGGUUAUCUAAUCCUAAUUUAAUUAAUAACUAAAAUUAAUUAAUUUAAAUUUUUUUAUAAAAAAAGUAUAUUUCACCAAAACAAUUUAGACUAUUAAACAAAAACAAAUUAAUAAUUAAUCAUUAAAUAUUAAAAAAAAAAUAUAAUUAUUUCCUAUAUGU